rnacentral:rRNA from 1 species
AGUGAACGCUGGCGGUAGGCCUAACAUAUGCAAGUCGAACGGCAGCACAGUAAGAGCUUGCUCUUACGGGUGGCGAGUGGCGGACGGGUGAGGAAUACAUCGGAAUCUACUUUUUCGUGGGGGAUAACGUAGGGAAACUUACGCUAAUACCGCAUACGACCUACGGGUGAAAGCAGGGGAUCUUCGGACCUUGCGCGAUUGAAUGAGCCGAUGUCGGAUUAGCUAGUUGGCGGGGUAAAGGCCCACCAAGGCGACGAUCCGUAGCUGGUCUGAGAGGAUGAUCAGCCACACUGGAACUGAGACACGGUCCAGACUCCUACGGGAGGCAGCAGUGGCGAAUAUUGGACAAUGGGCGCAAGCCUGAUCCAGCCAUACCGCGUGGGUGAAGAAGGCCUUCGGGUUGUAAAGCCCUUUUGUUGGGAAAGAAAAGCAGCAGGUUAAUACCCCGCUGUUCUGACGGUACCCAAAGAAUAAGCACCGGCUAACUUCGUG